GUCCCCGUAGCUCAGCGGAUAGAGCGUUGGCCUCCGGAGCCAGAAGCGUGGGUUCGAUUCCCGCCGGGGACGCCU
rnacentral:tRNA from 1 species